rnacentral:rRNA from 1 species
CCUACGGGAGGCAGCAGUAGGGAAUCUUCCGCAAUGGACGAAAGUCUGACGGAGCAACGCCGCGUGAGUGACGAAGGUUUUCGGAUCGUAAAACUCUGUUGUGAGGGAAGAACAAGUACCAACUAACUACUGGUACCUUGACGGUACCUCACCAGAAAGCCACGGCUAACUACGUGCCAGCAGCCGCGGUAAUACGUAGGUGGCAAGCGUUGUCCGGAAUUAUUGGGCGUAAAGCGCGCGCAGGCGGUCCCUUAAGUCUGAUGUGAAAGCCCACGGCUCAACCGUGGAGGGUCAUUGGAAACUGGGGGACUUGAGUGCAGAAGAGGAAAGUGGAAUUCCACGUGUAGCGGUGAAAUGCGUAGAGAUGUGGAGGAACACCAGUGGCGAAGGCGACUUUCUGGUCUGUAACUGACGCUGAGGCGCGAAAGCGUGGGGAGCAAACAGGAUUAGAUACCCUGGUAGUCCACGCCGUAAACGAUGAGUGCUAGGUGUUGGAGGGUUUCCGCCCUUCAGUGCUGAAGCUAACGCAUUAAGCACUCCGCCUGGNGAGUACGGCCGCAGGGCUGAAACUCAAAUGAAUUGACGGGG